rnacentral:rRNA from 1 species
GAGGCUUCGGCCUCUAAGUAGAGCGGCGGACGGGUGAGUAACACGUGGGUAACCUACCCUCGGGCGGGGAACAACUUCGGGAAACCGGGGCUAAUUCCGCAUGAUAUCUCGAAUUCACAAGUGUUUGAGAUCAAAGCUGGGGAUCCUUCGGGACCUGGCACCUGAGGAGGGGCCCGCGGACGAUUAGCUUGUUGGUGAGGUAAUGGCUCACCAAGGCUACGAUCGAUAGCCGGCCUGAGAGGGCGGACGGCCACACUGGGACUGAGACACGGCCCAGACUCCUACGGGAGGCAGCAGUGGGGAAUUUUUGUCAAUGGGGGAAACCCUGAACAAGCAACGCCGCGUGGAGGAUGAAGGCCUUCGGGUCGUAAACUCCUGUCAGAGGGGACGAAAGUGUCUGGGGUUAAUACCCCCAGGUAUUGACGGUACCCUACGAGGAAGCCCCGGCUAACUCCGUGCCAGCAGCCGCGGUAAUACGGGGGGGGCAAGCGUUGUUCGGAAUUACUGGGCGUAAAGGGCGCGUAGGCGGCUAGGCAAGUCCUUCGUGAAAUCCCACAGCUCAACUGUGGAACUGCGGAGGAAACUUCUUGGCUUGAGUCCGGGAGAGGGUAGUGGAAUUCCCAGUGUAGCGGUGAAAUGCGUAGAUAUUGGGAGGAACACCGGUGGCGAAGGCGGCUACCUGGACCGGUACUGACGCUGAGGCGCGAAAGCUAGGGGAGCAAACGGGAUUAGAUACCCCGGUAGUCCUAGCUGUAAACGUUGAGCACUUGGUGUGGCGGGUAUCGACCCCUGCCGUGCCG